rnacentral:rRNA from 1 species
CAUUGCUUUUUGUAUUAUUAAUAAAAAGUAACUCCUGCCCAGUGACGAAAGUUCAACGGCCGCGGUAUCCUAACCGUGCAAAGGUAGCAUAAUCACUUGCCCAUUAAUUGUGGGCUAGAAUGAAUGGACUAACGAAAUAUAAUCUGUCUCUGUAAGAAAUAUAAAAAUUAAUCUCUAACUGAAGAUUGUUAGAUCUAAUUGAAGGACAAGAAGACCCUAUAGAGCUUUAUCAAAAUGAAAUAUUAAUUUUCACAUAGAUUCGGUUGGGGCGACCAGGGAAUUUAAUAAUCAUCCCUCACCCUAUGAUAAAUUUAUCUAUCUAAUGACCCUUAAUCAAGAGCAUAAAAACAAGCUACCUUAGGGAUAACAGGCUAAUCCUAUUAAAGAGUCCUUAUCUAUAAUAGGGUUUGGCACCUCGAUGUUGGCUUAGGGUAUCAGUAUGACGCAAAAGUCAUACACAGAUGGUUUGUUCAACCAGUAAUUCCCUACAUGAUC